UGCCCGAAGCCCAAAACAGAAACUAAAACCAAACACAAUUACAAAUUUAAUAAAACAUGGCCCAAGUUACAAGCCCAUCUGUUAGUCCAAAUUACAGCCCAAGCUAUUGAACAAUUUCAGCAGAAAAAAACUGAACCCUAACAGCAGUUUCUUCGGCGCUGCAGCAAUUGCCCAUGUCGCGGCAACCGUUUCCACCCACGUUCAGCAAACCCCCACACCCCAUGCACGUUCUUCACCUGCAACAAAACCACAAAC
rnacentral:lncRNA from 1 species